rnacentral:sRNA from 1 species
GCUAGUGAGUGAGAUUUGGCUGUGGCAUCUGUCACCGCAUCACGUUUUAGGCUGAUUCAGCUGAUGUGGCUACAAAGUGUCUUCUUUCUUCCUCAGUACUCCAGGUGCCUCUGUUCCAAAGCAGCAUGCUCAGUUGAUAAGGAUAAGUACUUCUCAUGGAGGAGGAUAGCCCCAGGUAAAGGGAAUAUGAGUAGUUGAACUAUCCUGUUGGAUCCCCUAAGUGAUUCCCUGUUCGCACUUCCAUGUCUCACUCACUUUUUUAAUCACCCUAAUUUCUGAAGUUGACUCUUCAACUGGAU